CUGAAUGUUGACCUCGGAUCAGGUAGGAAUACCCGCUGAACUUAAGCAUAUCAAACAGGGGAAAAGGAAA
rnacentral:rRNA from 1 species